rnacentral:rRNA from 1 species
UACAGAGGGUGCAAGCGUUAAUCGGAAUUACUGGGCGUAAAGCGUGCGUAGACGGUUAUUUAAGUCAGGUGUGAAAGCCCCGGGCUCAACCUGGGAAUUGCAUUUGAGACUGAAUAGCUAGGGUGCGGAAGAGGGAAGCGGAAUUUCCGGUGUAGCGGUGAAAUGCGUAGAUAUCUGGAGGAACACCGGUGGCGAAGGCGGCAUCCUGGACCGGCAUUGACGCUGAGGAGCGAAAGCCAGGGGAGCAAAGCGGG